GAUAAUCCUAUAGAAGUAUAUGUUAAUGAUAGUGUAUGGGUACCUGGCCCCACAGAUGAUCGCUGCCCUGCCAAACCUGAGGAAGAAGGGAUGAUGAUAAAUAUUUCCAUUGGGUAUCAUUAUCCUCCUAUUUGCCUAGGGAGAGCACCAGGAUGUUUAAUGCCUGCAGUCCAAAAUUGUCUGCAGGUGUACCCAACAGCUCCGAAGAGACAGUGACAUCGAGAACGGGCCAUGAUGACGAUGGCGGUUUUGUCGAAAAGAAAAGGGGGAAAUGUGGGGAAAAGCAAGAGA
rnacentral:sRNA from 1 species